rnacentral:rRNA from 1 species
UGAGGAAUAUUGGUCAAUGGGCGAGAGCCUGAACCAGCCAAGUAGCGUGCAGGAUGACGGCCCUAUGGGUUGUAAACUGCUUUUAUAAGGGAAUAAAGUGGGUCUCGUGAGACUUUUUGCAUGUACCUUAUGAAUAAGGACCGGCUAAUUCCGUGCCAGCAGCCGCGGUAAUACGGAAGGUCCGGGCGUUAUCCGGAUUUAUUGGGUUUAAAGGGAGCGUAGGCCGGAGAUUAAGCGUGUUGUGAAAUGUAGUGGCUCAACCUCUGCACUGCAGCGCGAACUGGUCUUCUUGAGUACGCACAACGUGGGCGGAAUUCGUGGUGUAGCGGUGAAAUGCUUAGAUAUCACGAAGAACUCCGAUUGCGAAGGCAGCUCAC